rnacentral:rRNA from 1 species
AGUGAACGCUGGCGGUAGGCCUAACACAUGCAAGUCGAACGGCAGCACAGUAAGAGCUUGCUCUUACGGGUGGCGAGUGGCGGACGGGUGAGGAAUACAUCGGAAUCUACUUUUUCGUGGGGGAUAACGUAGGGAAACUUACGCUAAUACCGCAUACGACCUACGGGUGAAAGCAGGGGAUCUUUGGGCCUUGCGCGAUUGGAUGAGCCGGUGUCGGAUUAGUUAGUUGGGGGGGUAAAGGCCCACCAAGGGGACGAUCCGUAGCUGGUCUGGGAGGAGGGUCAGCCACACUGGAACUGCGACACGGUCCAGACUCCUGCGGGAGGCAGCAGUGGGGAAUAUUGGACAAGGGGCGCAAGCCUGAUCCAGCCAUACCGCGUGGGUGAAGAAGGCCUUCGGGUUGUAAAGCCCUUUUGUUGGGAAAGAAAAGCAGCAGGUUAAUACCCCGCUGUUCUGACGGUACCCAAAGAAUAAGCACCGGCUAACUUCG